rnacentral:ncRNA from 23 species
AACUGUGUUAAAGAACUAGAGAUCAUUUUGAGGGAAGCCGGUCAAAUCCCGGCGCUGACCCGCAACCGUAGAUCGCCUUUAAUUGGUGAUGAGCCGGAUUACUCAAGAUUUCUGGAAAUGGC